GUGCCUAACACAUGCAAGUCGAGCGAUCUUCUUCGGAAGAGAGCGGCGGACGGGUGAGUAACGCGUGGGUAACCUGCCCUGUACACACGGAUAACAUACCGAAAGGUAUGCUAAUACGGGAUAACAUAAGAAAGUCGCAUGGAUUUCUUAUCAAAGCUUUUGCGGUACAGGAUGGACCCGCGUCUGAUUAGCUAGUUGGUAAGGUAACGGCUUACCAAGGCGACGAUCAGUAGCCGACCUGAGAGGGUGAUCGGCCACAUUGGAACUGAGACACGGUCCAAACUCCUACGGGAGGCAGCAGUGGGGAAUAUUGCACAAUGGGCGAAAGCCUGAUGCAGCAACGCCGCGUGAGCGAUGAAGGCCUUCGGGUCGUAAAGCUCUGUCCUCAAGGAAGAUAAUGACGGUACUUGAGGAGGAAGCCCCGGCUAACUACGUGCCAGCAGCCGCGGUAAUACGUAGGGGGCUAGCGUUAUCCGGAAUUACUGGGCGUAAAGGGUGCGUAGGCGGUCUUUCAAGUCAGAAGUGAAAGGCUACGGCUCAACCGUAGUAAGCUUUUGAAACUGUAAGACUUGAGUGCAGGAGAGGAGAGUGGAAUUCCUAGUGUAGCGGUGAAAUGCGUAGAUAUUAGGAGGAACACCAGUUGCGAAGGCGGCUCUCUGGACUGUAACUGACGCUGAGGCACGAAAGCGUGGGGAGC
rnacentral:rRNA from 1 species